rnacentral:rRNA from 1 species
AUUGAACGCUGGCGGCAGGCCUAACACAUGCAAGUCGAACGGUAACAGGAAACAGCUUGCUGUUUCGCUGACGAGUGGCGGACGGGUGAGUAAUGUCUGGGAAACUGCCUGAUGGAGGGGGAUAACUACUGGAAACGGUAGCUAAUACCGCAUAACGUCGCAAGACCAAAGAGGGGGACCUUCGGGCCUCUUGCCAUCGGCUGUGCCCAGAUGGGAUUAGCUAGUAGGUGGGGUAACGGCUCACCUAGGCGACGAUCCCUAGCUGGUCUGAGAGGAUGACCAGCCACACUGGAACUGAGACACGGUCCAGACUCCUACGGGAGGCAGCAGUGGGGAAUAUUGCACAAUGGGCGCAAGCCUGAUGCAGCCAUGCCGCGUGUAUGAAGAAGGCCUUCGGGUUGUAAAGUACUUUCAGCGGGGAUGAAGGGAGUAAAGUUAAUACCUUUGCUCAUUGACGUUACCCGCAGAAGAAGCACCGGCUAACUCCGU